CGGGCAGCAGCUUACUUCUACCUCUCUUCUUUCUUUUCAUCAGCAGCGCACUCCUUUCACCCCUUCAUCUAUUAUCAACCACAAAUCCUAAUCUACCAUUCUUCUGAUUCUAAUUCUUCGCCGUAAGCCUCGCGACUAUAUCUAGAAACAGGAACAAAAGCAUGGAAACAAAUCAAAUCUAAACAAAUAGACAUGCAAAUCGCGUAGGUCCAUUGAGAGAAAAUUUCCGAUUAUACUGUAUCUGGAAAAUUCAGUAUUAGAGCAUGCACAAGCGGGGAAGAAAGAUCUAUAGUAUAGGAAUGUAUCAACUCCAAAUGAUAGAAGAUAAGUUUCUAUUCAAAGAUUUGAAGGCAUUUUUUUUUUUGGAAUUUUAUAGUUCACACACACACACAUAUAAAUGCAAAUCCCACUUAUACUUACAUUCUUUAAUUCUCACAAAGGUCAUCCUAAGUCCUAAAGCUUCUUUCAUAUUCACCAAUAUUCAUCAUGUAUUUGAAUGUUCCACUAAGUUUGAAUGCUUGCAUGUUCCUUUUCCUAUAUUCUGAUAUAUUAUAUAUAGUAUAAAUUGUUUUGUGCCAUUUUUUAAACUUGCAUACAUGCUUUAAACUUGGAUUUGAGAAUUCCACUUCUUGAGAUUAUUACUUGCUUUAAUUCUCACAAUGGUAAUUCUGAGCUAUCUAUUUCCAUAAGGAUGUAUUUGAAUGUUGUCCAAAUAGCAUCUGCACACUCAAUUUCCGUUUCCUUUUCUUAUAUUCUGAUAUAUAACAUAAUUUUUAUUAAAAUGCAAUCAACAUAGAGCUCCUAGUGAAUAUUUGCUUCACUAAGAUGCAUGAAUAUGAUGAACAUAAUAUACAGUAACUAAGAGAACAAUGUAAGAUAUUAUUACCAUUGAGAAUGUAAGAAUAGGCAUGUACUUACUUGGGUUUGAGUUAUGUUGCUAUUAUGAUCAUUCUUUGUUCUCAAUAAAUUCAGGUGUCAAUGGAAGUAAGAACACAGGAAAUUAAUACAGGGUGCAGGGGUAUUGCUUGGUAUGCUAUUGAAAUCCUUCAAAAUGGUUUCUAUUAGCUUUUUUUUGAGCUUGUGUGUUCAUGCUCAGCUUGGCCUCCCCGUCUCCAUUUUUCUGCAAAUCAAAUGAGAAGCAAUUCAAAACAAAUGAGAAGUAAUCAGUCCUUCAAAUGUCCAUAACUAUCAAAAAUGGAGAAAGUGAAUACUCCGUGUAGAUGUGGGUGCAGAACCAUCUAUUUAUAGGCUUUAUCUUUUUAAAAUUUUAUUUUAAAAAUAUGUACUUGUUUGUGUUGUACUUGUCAGUAAAAAUUAAAUUUUUAAUGCAUUGGAAAUAGCAAGCUGAA